GUCCAGACUCCUACGGGAGGCAGCAGUGGGGGAUAUUGGACAAUGGGGGAAACCCUGAUCCAGCGACGCCGCGUGAGUGAAGAAGUAUUUCGGUAUGUAAAGCUCUAUCAGCAGGGAAGAAAAUGACGGUACCUGACUAAGAAGCCCCGGCUAACUACGUGCCAGCAGCCGCGGUAAUACGUAGGGGGCAAGCGUUAUCCGGAUUUACUGGGUGUAAAGGGAGCGUAGACGGCUGUGCAAGCCAGAUGUGAAAGCCCGGGGCUCAACCCCGGGACUGCAUUUGGAACUGUGUGGCUGGAGUGUCGGAGAGGCAGGCGGAAUUCCUAGUGUAGCGGUGAAAUGCGUAGAUAUUAGGAGGAACACCAGUGGCGAAGGCGGCCUGCUGGACGAUGACUGACGUUGAGGCUCGAAAGCGUGGGGAGCAAACAGGAUUAGAUACCCCCGUAC
rnacentral:rRNA from 1 species